AUCUUCUACUCUGUAUACCCCAGCGAUGCUGCUCCUUCUUUUUAGUGGGUCUCCAAGGCAGCAAAGGGUGGGAGAAAGCAGCUGUAAAAUGGGCAUCAUACAGCAGAGACAGGCCAAAAAAAUACAAAAUCCUCUCGCUCGCCAAGAUCUACCUGCUAGAAUUGGAAGGCUCAGCACAAAACCCACCUGGAAGAAAUCAAAUGAGAGGCAGGUUUGCAACGGGGAUGCAAUUGCCGUGAAUAUAAUCACAGAAGCACCUAAUCUUGGAGGUUGGAUGGGAUCUCUGGAGAUCAUCUGGUCCACUUGCUAAUCAUUAAUCAUGUUCAGAUAUUUGCAGUCCUACGGAGGCUCAGUGCAGCCACCUCUCAUAGCUGGGGAUGUCUUAAGCUGGGGUCUGCAAGAGGCAAUUGAUAUCCACUGAUCUUUGUAUUGCCUCACCAAAAGUUUUUUUGUACGAGUGUUUUAGCUAUUUUCCAGCUAACACAGUGCCAAGAGGUCUGGGGACCUUCCUCCUCCAUCCUGGCCAUGUAUUUCUCUCUGCUCCUGAUGCUGCUUUUAGUGAGGGAUGGAUGAACCUCACUGGGAUGGAUGAACCGCAUAAAGAUGGAUGGAUCACCCUCAGCUCUAAUGGUUUGUUGCAUUAAAUGGUUCUUUGUGAGGUUAAGCAACAUUUAGCCCUCCAGCCACUUCCCUGCAGCUCUUCAGCACAUCUGCUCCUGCAGGGACAUGUCAGCAAGAGGAUGGGCUGAGGGCUGCCUACAUCUGAAAUGUAAGGUGUGAAAUGCCCAGGGACCCUCCAGUCACUCCCAAAGAGAGCUCACCCAGGAGCCAGAGGGAAACCAGUUGACUUUCUCACCCUUUAUUGUGCACAUUUCUCUAACCAGAAAGUAUCACUGAGCUACUGAUUGCAUUCCAAGAAGCUGAAGACAUCACAGAGCCUUCCAGGAGCCAAUGCAGGAGCACACCAUGGUCCCACCAUCACUCCAGCAAGCCUCAGCAAUCAGGCUGCCUGUCCACUCCCCGAGAGAACACAUUAAUUUUCUUGCAGCCCACAGUGCUGCCGGGAUGGUUCAGGUUGGAAAAGGGCCACCAUGGUCAGGAGAGGGCCAACAGUUGUCAGGCAGAAGACCGGUACCUUUGCCAACACCUGCCUUUUGCAAGCAACACUUUUUCCAACAGAACCCUGUAAAAUGUUUUUUAUGAAGAACCGAUAGGAAAUGUUGUGGGGGAGAAGAAAAAAAAAAAAGAAAGCCUAAACUUUUCUGGAAGUCUUCUUAGUCAUUGCCUUUUUCCAUUUGUAAAACUUUCCAGAUUAAAGCCUCACACC
ensembl:lncRNA